GCAAAGAUUAUCCCUUUGAGAAGAAAAUUGAAGAGCGCCAUUGAUUUUUCUUUUACUCCUUCCCAGCUCAAGGUUUGAAACCGUGCCAGCCUUUCACAUUGAAUUACCCAGGUGGCUGAUACCACCAGAAUUAUAUCAAGAUCCUCUGUUCCAUGUUAGAGGUUACCAACUCAACAGCAAGGAAGACAACCAGUCAUGAGGAAAUGCUGGCACAAAGAAAUAGUGAAGACACUCCCAACUUCUGCAUAGCUUUGUGAUGACUACACAGUGAGGACAAUGAGCAAAUUUCAGGGUUCUCUUGUGGCAGAUUUCUGGCAGGAUUAACGGGAUGUUCUGGUUGACAUUCAUGAUAUUCAAGAGCUAUAAAGCAAGGCUGGUAUGAAGAGCAGCUGUAGCCUUCAUGGUCCUACCAGAAAUGAAAAACAUCCCAUGCCAACAAAAAGCCCAGGGGUGGGUCUUCUGCCCUGGUGAAUUGGGUGAUGGUGCUGCUAAUGGUACCAGAUGGUGAAGUUCUUAAACCAGUGAUCUUUGCUCGGUCUCUGGUCUUCUACUCAUUGGAUUACAAUUUGCAUUUCAUCCUGGUAGAACAAACUGGGGAUCUUAAGAGAAUCCAGAUUUAAUCUCUUUGGAAACCACUGGUGGAACCUGGAUGGUCUCUAAAGACAAAGGAAGAAGAGGAGGAAUUAGGCCAUUGGACCCAAGCCUGAACAUCAGCCUGGUCACCAGGCAGUGUAGUUAGCUGAUUGACCAAACCAACAGUCGCUAACAACACAGCCAAGUGAAAAGGCGGCCUCUCCCUUCAGUUCCGCAAUCGGCUGAAUGGACUAAGCGACUUCUACAGGUUGAAGAGCAGAAGAUACCCUGCGUAGGAGAUACCAUUUGUGCUCAGGAUGGUCACUACUAUGAAGUGGUGUUCCUCAACCAUGGUGACUUUAAGAUGGGUGGAUGUCAACUCCUAGAAUUCUGGGAAUUAAAGUCUCUAAAGUUGAGAAACAUUGUAAAAUGUAAAUCUGCUGAUCCCAUCUUGAUGUUCUCCAGAGCUGUUGAAGCUGCUCUUCUCAACAUUACCUAACCAACAUAGCUACAGGAGGGCCCCAGGUUAGGGAAAGCUGGAGGAAAGAUUUGAGGGAUGAAUUCUUGAGAGUAAGUUGUAUCUCAGUCCUCAUUAACAGUCAUUUCACUUAAUAGGAAGCCCUGUUCUGAUUUAUUAACUUUCUAUUCAUUUAGACUGCAGUUCCCUGUCCAGAUGGAUGGUAAUUAAAUUUCUGGUUGAUCAAUGUGGGUCAUUUACGGGCAGUGUUGUGGCUUAACAAGAGUGCUGACAGCUCAUAAUAUUUGACUGACGGUCAGUUCCUAGGGGAGCUUGAUAUGAAUCCAAAAGACAGAAGGAGACUAAUGAACAAAAUGACUAAUUCUGCUUCCCUUCCCUUUUAGCCAGCAAAGCAGAAAGAAUUAAGACUUGUGUGUAUGGAAA